GCCACAUGAAAAAAUAAACACUGUUUAUAAGCAAAGACAGAUAGCAUCUUUCAGACUAAAGAAAUUGAGAGAACUCAUUACAGAUAAGCUACACUAAGACGACUUCCACCAGAAAGACUUUAUUAUUUAAACACAUACCUAACACAUCUGUUCGUGUUUUUUCAUCAGAAAACCAAAAUGUAGCAUUUCCACACUGUUGCUAGCUGUAUGCAAUAGAUGGAUCUGUAGAUAAAAAUGGGGGCUGCAUGCAUACACACUCAGGAAUGAAUUAAAGGUACAUCGUCCUUAUCUCAGUGGCAGAUUGAGCCCCAACAAAAAUAAAAUGAGUAUAGAUCUUGAUGACUUAUCCUGUUUGGUCAAUACGAUCCAUGGUGGCUAUUUUCAUGGUAGUCAGGUGGAAAUGUUCGUAAAAACCAGCGAAUGGAAUGGCAAAAUUGACAGUAGUCUAGGAUGGGGGUUGGGUAAGAGAGUGUGAGGGGGGAGGGCAGCUGGGAUGGUGUGUUUUUUUCUUUUGUUUUUUUUUUAAGAAAUAGUUGAGGAGGCUAAAAUAAAGGUACUGGAUGUGAAAACAAAUGAAGUAGAUAGGUGUAAUGUGCAAGAUAUGUGUGUGUUUUAAAGGUAGGUGUGGGUAUUAGCAAGAGUUAAUGGUGUGUGCAAUAAAUGAGUUAUGUGUGUUACAUUGAUUUAUAUGAGAGAGGGACAGAAGUUUGUGAAGUGUGUGUGUGUGUGUGUAAUGAGAGCUCUCUGUUAGUGAUUUAUAUGAGAGAAGGACAGUGGUUUGUGUGUAAAUGUGUUGAGGUUGUUGCUGUUUGUAUAAAAGGAAUUGUGUGCAAGAUAAGCAGAGGUGUGUGUGUGUGCGUGCUAAUGAGGGAGAGAUCUGUGUGUAGAAUAGAGUUUUAUGGUGAGAAAAAGUCAAAGGUUUGUGAUGUCUACUGAGAAUGUUGGUGUGUGUACAAGAGGGGAAAGUGAGUGUUUAAAAGGAGCAGGGGUGAGUGUUGUGUAGUGUUCUCCG